UACGGAGGGUGCAAGCGUUAUCCGGAUUCACUGGGUUUAAAGGGUGCGUAGGCGGGUAGGUAAGUCAGUGGUGAAAUCCUGGAGCUCAACUCCAGAACUGCCAUUGAUACUAUCUAUCUUGAAUAUUGUGGAGGUAAGCGGAAUAUGUCAUGUAGCGGUGAAAUGCUUAGAUAUGACAUAGAACACCCAUUGCGAAGGCAGCUUACUACGCAUAUAUUGACGCUGAGGCACGAAAGCGUGGGGAUCAAACAGGAUUAGAUACCCUGGUAGUCCACGCCCUAAACGAUGGAUACUCGACAUACGCGAUACACUGUGUGUGUCUGAGCGAAAGCAUUAAGUAUCCCACCUGGGAAGUACGUUCGCAAGAAUGAAACUCAAAGGAAUUGGCGGGGGUCCGCACAAGCGGUGGAGUAUGUGGUUUAAUUCGAUGAUACGCGGGGAACCUUACCUGGGCUAGAAUGCUGGGAGACCGCUAGUGAAAGCUAGUUUUGUAGCAAUACACUGCCAGUAAGGUGCUGCAUGGCCGUCGUCAGCUCGUGCCGUGAGGUGUUGGGUUAAGUCCCGCAACGAGCGCAACCCCUAUCUUUAGUUGCCAACAGGUAAUGCUGGGAACUCUAAAGAAACUGCCGCCGUAAGGUGUGAGGAAGGAGGGGAUGAUGUCAGGUCAUCAUGGCCUUUAUGCCCAGGGCUACACACGUACUACAAUGGGGAAGACAAAGGGCUGCAACAUAGCGAUAUGAAGCCAAUCCCAAAAACUCCCUCUCAGUUCAGAUUGCAGGCUGCAACUCGCCUGCAUGAAGCUGGAAUCGCUAGUAAUCGUAUAUCAGCAAUGAUACGGUGAAUACGUUCCCGGACCU
rnacentral:rRNA from 1 species